GCAAAAGAAUGGCUUUUUGAAGGCUACCGUAGCUGUAAUACGUAACUUGAACUGCGUGGUGCGAGAGAGGUGAUUGCAAUAUACGAUCUCAACGCUAGAUGAGAGAAAUUCCUACACAUUGGACCUUAAAGCUUAGAUGUGAGAU